rnacentral:rRNA from 1 species
GACGAACGCUGGCGGCGUGCUUAACACAUGCAAGUCGAACGGAAAGGCCCUGCUUUUGUGGGGUGCUCGAGUGGCGAACGGGUGAGUAACACGUGAGUAACCUGCCCUUGACUUUGGGAUAACUUCAGGAAACUGGGGCUAAUACCGGAUAGGAGCUCCUGCUGCAUGGUGGGGGUUGGAAAGUUUCGGCGGUUGGGGAUGGACUAGCGGCUUAUCAGCUUGUUGGUGGGGUAGUGGCUUACCAAGGCUUUGACGGGUAGCCGGCCUGAGAGGGUGACCGGCCACAUUGGGACUGAGAUACGGCCCAGACGCCUACGGGAGGCAGCAGUGGGGAAUAUUGCACAAUGGGCGGAAGCCUGAUGCAGCAACGCCGCGUGCGGGAUGACGGCCUUCGGGUUGUAAACCGCUUUCGCCUGUGACGAAGCGUGAGUGACGGUAAUGGGUAAAGAAGCACCGGCUAACUACGUG